GACGAACGCUGGCGGCGUGCUUAACACAUGCAAGUCGAACGGAAAGACCCUGCUUUUGUGCGGUUCUCGAGUGGCGCACGGGUGUGUAACACGUGAGUAUCCUGCCCUUGUCUUUGGGGUAACUUCAGGAAACUCGGGCUCAUACCGCGUAGAAUCUCCUGCUCCAUGUUGGGGGUUGGAGAGAUUCGGCGGUGGGGGAUGGACUCGCGGCUUAUCGGCUUGUUGGGGGGGUAGUGGCUUACCAAGGCUUUGAAGGCUACGCGGCCUGGGAGGGUGACCGGGCACAAUGGGACUGAGAGACGGCCCAGACGCCUACGGGAGGCAGCAGUGGGGAAUAUGGCACAAUGGGCGGAAGUCUGAGGCAGCAACGCUGCGUGCGGGAUGACGGCCUUCGGGGUGUAAACCGCUGUCGCCUGUGACGAAGAGGGAGUGACGGUAACGGGUAAAGAAGCACCGGCUAACUACGUG
rnacentral:rRNA from 1 species